ACGGAGGGGGCUAGCGUUGUUCGGAAUCACUGGGCGUAAAGCGCGCGUAGGCGGACCAAUCAGUUGGGGGUGAAAGCCCGGAGCUCAACUCCGGAACUGCCUCCAAUACUGUUGGUCUUGAGGUCGAGAGAGGUAAGUGGAAUUCCUAGUGUAGAGGUGAAAUUCGUAGAUAUUAGGAAGAACACCAGUGGCGAAGGCGACUUACUGGCUCGAUUCUGACGCUGAGGUGCGAAAGCGUGGGGAGCAAACAGG
rnacentral:rRNA from 1 species